ACAGCAGUAGCCGCGGUAAUACGAAGGGUGCAAGCGUUAAUCGGAAUUACUGGGCGUAAAGCGUGCGUAGGCGGUUUGUUAAGUCUGUUGUGAAAUCCCCGGGCUCAACCUGGGAAUGGCAGUGGAUACUGGCUCGCUAGAGUGUGUCAGAGGAUGGUGGAAUUCCCGGUGUAGCGGUGAAAUGCGUAGAGAUCGGGAGGAACAUCAGUGGCGAAGGCGGCCAUCUGGGACAACACUGACGCUGAGGCACGAAAGCGUGGGGAGCAAACAGGAUUAGAUACCCCAGUAGUCCCUGUCUCUUAUAC
rnacentral:rRNA from 1 species